UACGGGGGGGGCAAGCGUUGUUCGGAAUUACUGGGCGUAAAGGGCUCGUAGGCGGCCAACUAAGUCAUACGUGAAAUCCCUCGGCUUAACCGGGGAACUGCGUCUGAUACUGGAUGGCUUGAGUUCGGGAGAGGGAUGCGGAAUUCCAGGUGUAGCGGUGGAAAUGCGUAGAUAUCUGGAGGAACACCGGUGGCGAAGGCGGCCAUC
rnacentral:rRNA from 1 species